AGAACGAACGCUGGCGGCAUGCCUAAUACAUGCAAGUCGAACGAACACUUCGGUGUUAGUGGCGCACGGGUGCGUAACGCGUGGGAAUCUGCCCUUGGGUUCGGAAUAACAGUUGGAAACGACUGCUAAUACCGGAUGAUGACGAAAGUCCAAAGAUUUAUCGCCCAGGGAUGAGCCCGCGUAGGAUUAGCUAGUUGGUGAGGUAAGCUCACCAAGGCGACGAUCCUUAGCUGGUCUGAGAGGAUGAUCAGCCAC
rnacentral:rRNA from 1 species